GGGGGUAUAGCUCAGCGGUGGAGCAUGUGAUUAUAGCAUGAGUGAGGUCCUGGGUUCAAUCCCUAGCACUUCCA
rnacentral:tRNA from 1 species